GCAACAACUUCCACCUGGCUUACCUUUUCAGUCUUGUGCCAUUGCUUGUAUCGCAUUGAAUGCAUGGUGGGUUUCUUGUGUUGCAUGCCUAAUUGAUGGUAUCAUUUGAAGAACUGAUGUCCCUUUUCAUCUUGUGUCGCACAUGCGAUGUGAGAUGAACCUUGAAGUAGCCUUUGUGAUCCACUCUUUCGAUGUACACGCAUUGAUUUUGUGGCCCACUGUGUGUUGCUUGGUCUCAUGGAUAUGGAACCUGGUGUGGGCAUGGGAUCUUUACUAGUUCCUUGUUUGCCCUGGUUUAGCUUUUCUAAUACACGAUUGUUUAUCACAUUUUAAUGUGGUAGGCUAUAUCGGAUAUGAAUGCUACCUGGUUGAUCCUGCC
rnacentral:misc_RNA from 2 species